rnacentral:rRNA from 1 species
GAGUGUUCGGUUAAGUCCGCUAACGAGCGCAACCCUCGCUGUGUGUUACAAGUGUCACACGGUACUGCCGGUCUUAAGCCGGAGGAAGGUGGGGAUGACGUCAAGUCAGCAUGGCCUUUAUGUCCUGGGCUACACACACGCUACAAUGGCCAACACAAUAGGUUGCUAAGCCGCGAGGUGGAGCCAAUCCUCAAAGUUGGUCUCAGUUCAGAUUGCAGGCUGCAACCCGCCUGCAUGAAGAUGGAGUUGCUAGUAACCGCAGGUCAGCUAUACUGCGGUGAAUACGUUCCGGGGCUU